rnacentral:rRNA from 1 species
UUCCUCCAACCCCUGUGACAUACCUAUACGUUGCCUCGGCGGAUCAGCCCGCGCCCCGUAAAAAGGGACGGCCCGCCCGAGGACCCCUAAACUCUGUUUUUAGUGGAACUUCUGAGUAAAACAAACAAAUAAAUCAAAACUUUCAACAACGGAUCUCUUGGUUCUGGCAUCGAUGAAGAACGCAGCAAAAUGCGAUAAGUAAUGUGAAUUGCAGAAUUCAGUGAAUCAUCGAAUCUUUGAACGCACAUUGCGCCCGCCAGUAUUCUGGCGGGCAUGCCUGUUCGAGCGUCAUUUCAACCCUCAAGCUCAGCUUGGUGUUGGGACUCGCGGUAACCCGCGUUCCCCAAAUCGAUUGGCGGUCACGUCGAGCUUCCAUAGCGUAGUAAUCAUACACCUCGUUACUGGUAAUCGUCGCGGCCACGCCGUAAAACCCCAACUUCUGAAUGUUGACCUCGGAUCAGGUAGGAAUACCCGCUGAACUUAAGCAUAUCAAUAAGCGGAGGA